rnacentral:lncRNA from 1 species
GCCAUUGGAAGAGAUCCAGAUUCCUGGGAGGAUCCAUUGAGUUUCAAGCCCGAAAGGUUCUUGAAAUCAAGCAUUGAGUACAAGGGACAACAUUUUGAGUUGAUCCCAUUUGGUUCAGGAAGAAGGAUUUGUGUAGGGUUCCCCUUGGCUCAUAGGGUGGUUCAUCUCACCAUAGCGACCCUGGUCCAGGCUUUCGACUGGGAUCUUGGGACAGGUGUCAAACCCGAACACAUUGACCUGCAAGAGAGG